rnacentral:rRNA from 1 species
UGGGGAAUAUUGGGCAAUGGGCGCAAGCCUGACCCAGCAACGCCGCGUGAAGGAAGAAGGCCCUCGGGUUGUAAACUUCUUUUAUCAAGGACGAAGAAAGUGACGGUACUUGAUGAAUAAGCCACGGCUAACUACGUGCC